AUUGAACGCUGGCGGCAGGCCUAACACAUGCAAGUCGAACGAGUGGCGGACGGGUGAGUAAUGUCUGGGAAACUGCCCGCUGGAGGGGGGUAACUACUGGAAACGGUAGCUAAUACCGCAUACCAUCGGAUGUGCCCAGAUGGGAUUAGCUAGUAGGUGGGGUAACUGUUCCCCGGGGCGACGAUCCCUAGCUGGUCUGCGAGGAUGACAAGGUGCACGGGAACUGAGACACGGUGCAGAGUCCUACAGGAGGAAGGAGGGGGGAAGAGUGUACAAUGGGCGAAAGCCUGAUGCAGCGAUGCCGCGUGUAUGAGGAAGGCCUGCGGGGUGUAAAGUAGGAUAAGCGAGGAGGCGUGACUCGGAGAAGAAGCGCCGGCUAACUCCGUGCCAGCAGCCGCGGUAAUAC
rnacentral:rRNA from 1 species